UGGGGAAUUUUGGACAAUGGGGGAAACCCUGAUCCAGCCAUCCCGCGUGUGCGAUGAAGGCCUUCGGGUUGUAAAGCACUUUUGGCAGGAAAGAAACGCCAUGGGUUAAUACCCCGUGAAACUGACGGUACCUGCAGAAUAAGCACCGGCUAACUACGUGCCAGCAGCCGCGGUAAUACGUAGGGUGCAAGCGUUAAUCGGAAUUACUGGGCGUAAAGCGUGCGCAGGCGGUUCGGAAAGAAAGAUGUGAAAUCCCAGAGCUCAACUUUGGAACUGCAUUUUUAACUACCGGGCUAGAGUGUGUCAGAGGGAGGUGGAAUUCCGCGUGUAGCAGUGAAAUGCGUAGAUAUGCGGAGGAACACCGAUGGCGAAGGCAGCCUCCUGGGAUAACACUGACGCUCAUGCACGAAAGCGUGGGGAGCAAACAGG
rnacentral:rRNA from 1 species